AGGGGCUUGUGGGUAGCGGCUGCGCGCGGCCGGAGACGGGCGCCGCGCGGGAGUGUGCGAGGGGAGCGGGCUUGUGGGACCGAGGCGGCCGCGGCGAGCAUGGGGGCGGGCUGGCGGCGGCCGUAGUUGUCUGAGCCCGGGCUUCAAGCCUCCCGGAGCCCCAGAGGGCGGGGCGGUCCGGGCCCGGCGGUGGCCGCGCCGCUUCCCCGCUCCCGCCCUCGGAGUCCUGAGGGAGCCCGCGGCGGACAAGCGGACCGGGCGGCGCGAAUCUGACUGAGGGGCGGGGACGCCGUCUGCUCUUCGCCGCUCCCGGCCGGGCCGGGCGGCCCCUCGGACGGCCCCAGGCCCGGGACCGGCGCGGAGACCCGAAGCCGGGGCUAGAGGCGGGCGGUGGGCCCUGGCGGAGCCCCGCCCGGGGCCGGCGGUUCGGGGGCGGCGCUAGGCCCCGAGGCGCCCGGGCCGGAGCGCGGGGAGCGGGGAGUGCGGGGCCGGGCGGCGGCGGCAUGAGCCGGCCCCCGGCGACGGGGAAAAUGCCCGGCGCCCCCGAGGCCGUGUCGGGGGACGGGGCGGGCGCGAGCCGCCAGAGGAAGCUGGAGGCGCUGAUCCGAGACCCUCGCUCGCCCAUCAACGUGGAGAGCUUGCUGGAUGGCUUAAAUUCCUUGGUCCUUGAUUUGGAUUUUCCUGCUUUGAGGAAAAACAAGAAUAUAGAUAAUUUCUUAAAUAGAUAUGAGAAAAUUGUGAAAAAAAUCAGAGGUCUGCAGAUGAAGGCAGAAGACUAUGAUGUUGUAAAAGUGAUUGGGAGAGGUGCUUUUGGUGAAGUGCAGCUGGUUCGUCAUAAGGCAUCACAGAAGGUUUAUGCUAUGAAGCUUCUUAGUAAGUUUGAAAUGAUAAAAAGAUCAGAUUCUGCUUUUUUCUGGGAAGAGAGAGAUAUUAUGGCCUUCGCCAACAGUCCCUGGGUGGUUCAGCUCUUUUGUGCUUUUCAAGAUGAUAAGUAUCUGUACAUGGUAAUGGAGUACAUGCCUGGUGGAGAUCUUGUAAACCUUAUGAGUAACUAUGAUGUCCCUGAAAAGUGGGCCAAAUUUUAUACUGCUGAAGUUGUUCUUGCUCUGGAUGCCAUACACUCCAUGGGUCUCAUUCACAGAGAUGUAAAGCCUGACAACAUGCUCUUGGAUAAACAUGGACAUCUAAAGUUAGCGGAUUUUGGCACAUGUAUGAAGAUGGAUGAAACAGGCAUGGUGCAUUGUGAUACAGCAGUUGGAACACCUGAUUAUAUUUCACCUGAGGUUCUCAAAUCACAAGGGGGUGAUGGUUACUAUGGGCGAGAAUGUGAUUGGUGGUCUGUGGGUGUUUUCCUUUUUGAGAUGCUGGUGGGGGAUACUCCAUUUUAUGCAGAUUCACUUGUAGGAACAUAUAGCAAAAUUAUGGAUCAUAAAAACUCACUGUGUUUCCCAGAAGAUGCAGAAAUUUCUAAACAUGCGAAGAAUCUCAUCUGUGCCUUCUUAACAGAUAGGGAGGUACGACUUGGGAGAAAUGGGGUAGAAGAAAUCAAACAACAUCCUUUCUUUAAGAAUGAUCAGUGGAAUUGGGAUAACAUAAGAGAGACGGCAGCUCCUGUAGUACCUGAACUCAGCAGUGACAUAGACAGCAGCAACUUUGAUGACAUCGAAGAUGAUAAAGGAGAUGUAGAAACCUUCCCAAUUCCUAAAGCUUUUGUGGGAAAUCAGCUGCCUUUUAUAGGAUUUACCUACUAUAGAGAAAAUUUGUUAUUAAGUGACUCUCCAUCUUGCAGAGAAAAUGAUUCAAUACAGUCAAGGAAAAAUGAAAUUCAGAAAAAACUAUACACGUUAGAAGAACACCUUAGCACUGAGAUACAAGCCAAAGAAGAAUUAGAGCAGAAGUGCAAAUCUGUUAAUACUCGCCUUGAGAAGGUAGCAAAGGAGCUAGAAGAGGAGAUUACCUUAAGGAAAAAUGUGGAAUCAACAUUAAGACAAUUAGAAAGAGAAAAGGCACUUCUUCAGCACAAAAAUGCAGAAUAUCAGCGGAAAGCUGAUCACGAAGCAGACAAGAAACGAAAUUUGGAAAACGAUGUUAACAGUUUAAAGGAUCAACUUGAAGAUUUGAAAAAAAGGAAUCAGAACUCUCAAAUAUCCACUGAGAAAGUAAAUCAACUCCAGAGACAACUGGAUGAAACCAAUGCUUUGCUGAGAACAGAAUCUGAUACUGCAGCCCGAUUAAGAAAAACCCAGGCAGAAAGUACAAAACAGAUUCAGCAGCUGGAAUCUAACAAUAGAGAUCUUCAAGAUAAAAAUUGUCUGCUGGAGACUGCCAAGUUAAAACUUGAAAAGGAAUUUAUCAAUCUUCAGUCAGUUCUAGAAUCUGAAAGGAGGGACCGAACCCACGGAUCAGAGAUAAUUAAUGACUUACAAGGUAGAAUAUCUGGCCUAGAAGAAGACUUAAAGAAUGGCAAAAUCUUAUUAGCAAAAGUAGAGAUGGAGAAGAGACAACUACAGGAGAGAUUUACUGAUUUGGAAAAGGAAAAGAACAACAUGGAAAUAGAUAUGACAUACCAACUAAAAGUUAUACAGCAGAGCUUAGAACAAGAAGAAGCUGAGCAUAAGGCUACAAAAGCACGGCUGGCAGAUAAAAAUAAAAUUUAUGAAUCCAUUGAAGAAGCAAAAUCCGAAGCCAUGAAAGAAAUGGAGAAAAACCUCUCAGAGGAAAGGACGUUAAAGCAGAAGGUGGAAAACCUGUUGCUGGAAGCUGAGAAGAGAUGCUCUAUAUUAGACUGUGACCUCAAACAGUCACAGCAGAAAAUAAAUGAACUCCUUAAGCAGAAAGAUGUGCUAAAUGAAGAUAUCAGAAACUUGACAUUAAAAAUAGAGCAAGAAACUCAAAAGCGCUGCCUUACACAAAAUGACUUGAAGAUGCAAACACAGCAAGUUAACACACUAAAAAUGUCAGAAAAGCAGUUAAAACAGGAGAAUAAUCAUCUCAUGGAAAUGAAAAUGAGCUUGGAAAAGCAGAAUGCUGAACUUCGAAAAGAACGUCAAGAUGCAGACGGGCAAAUGAAGGAACUCCAAGAUCAGCUUGAAGCAGAGCAGUACUUCUCAACUCUCUAUAAAACACAGGUGAGAGAACUUAAAGAAGAAUGUGAAGAAAAGACUAAACUUUGUAAAGAAUUACAGCAGAAGAAACAGGAAUUCGAGGACGAAAGAGACUCCUUGGCUGCUCAACUGGAGAUCACCUUGACCAAAGCAGAUUCUGAGCAGCUGGCUCGUUCAAUUGCUGAAGAGCAAUAUUCUGAUUUGGAAAAAGAGAAAAUCAUGAAAGAGCUUGAGAUCAAAGAGAUGAUGGCUAGACACAAACAGGAACUCACUGAAAAAGAUGCUACAAUUGCAUCUCUUGAAGAAACUAACAGGACACUAACUAGUGAUGUUGCCAAUCUUGCAAAUGAGAAAGAAGAAUUAAAUAACAAAUUAAAAGAUGCCCAAGAACAGCUAUCACGGUUGAAAGAUGAGGAGAUAAGUGCAGCCGCUAUUAAAGCACAAUUUGAGAAGCAACUAUUAACAGAGAGAACACUGAAAACUCAAGCUGUGAACAAGUUGGCCGAGAUCAUGAAUCGAAAAGAACCUGUCAAGCGUGGUAGUGACACUGAUGUGCGGAGAAAAGAGAAAGAGAAUAGAAAGCUACAUAUGGAGCUUAAAUCUGAACGUGAAAAACUGACCCAGCAGAUGAUCAAGUAUCAGAAAGAACUGAAUGAAAUGCAGGCUCAAAUAGCUGAAGAGAGCCAGAUUCGAAUUGAACUGCAGAUGGCCCUGGACAGUAAAGACAGUGACAUUGAGCAGCUGCGGUCACAGCUCCAGGCCUUGCAUAUUGGUCUGGAUAGUUCCAGUAUAGGCAGUGGACCAGGGGAUGCUGAGGCAGAUGAUGGCUUUCCAGUUCAUAUCACUCAGUCACGCACUAUGGAAUCCUUGUCAUUCACCUACCAACGUUCCUCUACUUCUCUCAAUAUUGCCACUAAGCCUUCCAGUUCUCAUAUGCUUCUUGACUCUGAUUCUGACUCAGAAGAAGAAUCUUUGCCUUACUUACCUAUUUCAUCGGAACCUGAUGGUACAGAAUCAAGACUAGAAGGAUGGCUUUCAUUGCCUGUGCGAAACAACACUAAGAAAUUUGGAUGGGUUAAAAAGUAUGUGAUUGUAAGCAGUAAGAAGAUUCUUUUCUAUGACAGUGAACAAGAUAAAGAACAAUCUAAUCCUUACAUGGUUUUAGAUAUAGACAAAUUAUUUCAUGUCCGACCAGUUACACAAACAGAUGUAUAUAGAGCAGAUGCUAAAGAAAUUCCAAGGAUAUUUCAGAUUCUGUAUGCCAAUGAAGGAGAAAGUAAGAAGGAACAAGAAUUUCCCGUGGAGCCCGUGGGAGAAAAGUCAAAUUAUAUUUGCCAUAAGGGACAUGAGUUCAUUCCUACCCUCUAUCAUUUCCCAACCAACUGUGAGGCUUGUAUGAAGCCUUUAUGGCAUAUGUUCAAACCCCCCCCUGCGUUAGAGUGCCGCCGCUGCCACAUUAAAUGUCAUAAAGAUCACAUGGACAGAAAGGAGGAGAUUAUAGCACCUUGCAAAGUUUAUUAUGAUAUUUCGACGGCCAAGAACCUAUUGUUAUUGGCAAAUUCUACAGAAGAGCAGCAAAAGUGGGUUAGUCGGUUGGUGAAAAAGAUACCUAAAAAGCCUCCAGCCCCAGACCCUUUUGCACGGUCAUCUCCUAGAACUUCAAUGAAGAUACAACAAAACCAGUCUAUUAGACGGCCAAGUCGACAGCUUGCCCCAAACAAACCAAGUUCUGGCCCCGCCCUUCGAAUCAUUCUUCACUGAUUUUUUAAUACAUUUUGCAUAGCAACAAUUGCUUGAUUUGGCAUUUAAAGACUGGGAUUGGUCAUUUGAUGAUGUUGAUGGUGGUGAUGAUGAUGACGAUGUUUUUGAUUUCUGAAGAAAUAAAUGGGCUAGCUGCCUUCUGUGAAUGCAGUUGUUAUUCAAGGUGGUCAUAUUCUUCCAGUUAAAACAAGACUGAAAUAUGAUGGCCCAAAAUUUCUUAAAAAGCUAUAUUUUCCUGAGAGACUGAUACACACACACACACACACACACACACACACACACACACACACACAU